AUCAUGGCUCAGGAUGAACGCUGGCGGCGUGCCUAAUACAUGCAAGUCGAGCGAAUGGAUUAAGAGCUUGCUCUUAUGAAGUUAGCGGCGGACGGGUGAGUAACACGUGGGUAACCUACCCAUAAGACUGGGAUAACUCCGGGAAACCGGGGCUAAUACCGGAUAAUAUUUUGAACUGCAUAGUUCGAAAUUGAAAGGCGGCUUCGGCUGUCACUUAUGGAUGGACCCGCGUCGCAUUAGCUAGUUGGUGAGGUAACGGCUCACCAAGGCGACGAUGCGUAGCCGACCUGAGAGGGUGAUCGGCCACACUGGGACUGAGACACGGCUCAGACUCCUACGGGAGGCAGCAGUAGGGAAUCUUCCGCAAUGGACGAAAGUCUGACAGAGCAACGCCGCGUGAGUGAUGAAGGCUUUCGGGUCGUAAAACUCUGUUGUUAGGGAAGAACAAGUGCUAGUUGAAUAAGCUGGCACCUUGACGGUACCUAACCAGAAAGCCACGGCUAACUA
rnacentral:rRNA from 1 species